AUUCUCCCCCUUCGCCCUGCUCCCAUUCAUCCCCUGAGGAACCCUAGCCACCGCCCCAAUUAGCCACCGGCCUCCUCUCCGCCAUUGCUGCCCACCUCCCGCUCCUCCCACUACCACUCUAACCUCACAUCCAGAACCAUCCGGUUCAGUCCAUAGAAGGGGAGGGAAUGGCUGCGGUGGCGGAGGAUGUGGAGGCGUUCCUGGCGAUGUGCGCGGUGUUGGGGGAUGCAGCAUACGGUGCAACCAAGGCCAUGCUGGAGUGGCUCAACGCGCCGGCCAAGCGCGCCGAGGCCAGGCGGCUCCUCGGCACCGUGCGAUGACGAUUCACCAUCGGCGGCCCUGCCGCAGGCCUCGAGUGCUUCCGCAUCAGUGGAGAGGCCCCAAUUCCUCCCUAGGUCUGCACACCGACGCCAGCCGCCGCAACCGGAAAGCGCUCUCCAGCCACUGCCAUAUGCCUGGUUUCUUUACCUUCUUUUACUUUUAUGGAUUUAUAGCUAGCAAUAGAGGACCAUAGAUGGGGAACAAAUUGAGGAGGUACGACGGUUGGGGUAGGCUUGACCGCCGGUGGAUUCGCCGUGGCCCGGGUUCUGGCAGAUUGGUGUUGGUGUAGGCGGUAAUUGCAGCGACGUUGGUGGACCAUCUGUUGGUCUUGGAUGCCCCAGUCUGGGUUUUUGAGGCUAUGGAAAGCUGGAUGUGCUCUUUUUUCUAGGUGGGAUCAGACGUUGUUCUGGGUGGCAAAUGCCUCGUUGUGUUGACUACCAUAGUGAGGCCGGUGGAAUUCAGUGGCCUGGCAUCAAGGAGUUGAGGCUGAGGUUGCAGGCAAUUGCACUGAGAGUGCUAUGGGAGUGGCUUCGACGUACCCAACCUAGAAGACCCUUGCAAGGGCUAGAGAUGAUAUAGUCAAUUUUGUGCAUGGGAAAUUCAUAGACUGAUUAUGUAUGCUAUGUAGUGUGUUGAUGCUGCUCAUGAUCCAGUCAUACCUAGAGUCAUAACUUUGGUUUUCUCACAUGCCUUCGUUUCGCAUUAUCUUGUGUAAGCACAUCCAUGCAAAAGGUUGUGUGGGUGUCUUUUAAUUUCAGAGGUAAAUAAACUCCCCUUAGUUUUUUGGCCUGACACUAAAUCAGCUUUCUUCUUUUACGCAAUUCAUGUCGCUAAGAUUGUUUUUUACCAUGUAAAUUUUCCCUGAUCGGUUUGCUUGAUGGAUGAAUGGUGAUGAUGAUGUGAUUGUUUUUUUACCAUGUGCAACCAGUACUUGGCCGAGAUGCUCACCGAGAACCAGAUGCUUGGGCCUUUGAUGCAGGUGCUGCCCAUAUGCAGCAAGCUGUCGAGCCAAGGUUGUUGGCACAUCUUAUAACCAGGUAACUUCCACUGGAUCCUUCUAUUAACAAGCAGCUAGACCCAAGGUUUACAUGAAGAGGGAGAAUGUCGGCAGCUGGAAUUCUGGGCUGGAAAAGGAGCAAAUAUUAGAGACCUAUUCUGCACAACUCCAAAAGUCUUGAAACUC